CACGCCCACCAGCACUUCGGACAUUACGCCAACUACGAGCAGAUUCAGCACCACCCGCGCGAAGAACGCCUGAGGGGCGCCUCUCUGGUCAGUCGACUGGAGGAAAAGUUCCGGGACGAGGCCAGGCGGCAGCACCAGGUGUGCCACUCGCAGCGCGGCCGGCGCGCCGAGCCGAGCACCGCCGAAUGGCCAAUCAGCAACUACUACGAGUACGAGUCGGUGCGGGCGGUCCCGCGUGGCGGCGGCGGCAGCGGCGGCGGGGUCGACCCGACGGCGAACCACUCGCUGCCGCGCAACCAUGAGAGGACGCGCUCCGGGCCGGCCACCGGUGAC